GAUUUCUUCUUCUUCUUCUUCGUCUUCUAUG
rnacentral:sRNA from 1 species